GAUGAACGCUGGCGGCGUGCCUAAUACAUGCAAGUCGAGCGAACAGACGAGGAGCUUGCUCCUCCGACGUUAGCGGCGGACGGGUGAGUAACACGUGGAUAACCUACCUAUAAGACUGGGAUAACUUCGGGAAACCGGAGCUAAUACCGGAUAAUAUAUUGAACCGCAUGGUUCAAUAGUGAAAGACGGUUUUGCUGUCACUUAUAGAUGGAUCCGCGCCGCAUUAGCUAGUUGGUAAGGUAACGGCUUACCAAGGCAACGAUGCGUAGCCGACCUGAGAGGGUGAUCGGCCACACUGGAACUGAGACACGGUCCAGACUCCUACGGGAAGCAGCAGUAGGGAAUCUUCCGCAAUGGGCGAAAGCUUGACGGAGCAACGCCGCGUGAGUGAUGAAGGUCUUCGGAUCGUAAAACUCUGUUAUUAGGGAUGAACAAAUGUGUAAGUAACUAUGCACGUCUUGACGGUACCUAAUCAGAAAGCCACGGCUAACUACGUG
rnacentral:rRNA from 1 species